rnacentral:tRNA from 1 species
GGGCUCGUAGUCUAAUGGCAGGACGCCGCCCUGACGUGGCGGUAAUCGCGGUUCGAAUCCGCGCGAGCCCA